UACGUAGGGACCGAGCGUUGUCCGGAUUCAUUGGGCGUAAAGAGCUCGUAGGCGGCUGCUCAAGUCGAAUGUGAAAACUCGAGGCUCAACCUCGAGCCUGCAUUCGAUACUGGGCGGCUAGAGUCUGGUAGGGGGAGUCUGGAAUUCCUGGUGUAGCGGUGGAAUGCGCAGAUAUCAGGAGGAACACCGGUGGCGAAGGCGGGUCUCUGGGCCGAUACUGACGCUGAGGAGCGAAAGCGUGGGGAGCGAACAGG
rnacentral:rRNA from 1 species